rnacentral:rRNA from 1 species
AGCGAACGCUGGCGGCAGGCUUAACACACGCAAGUCGAGCGGGCAUCUUCGGAUGUCAGCGGCAGACGGGUGAGUAACACGUGGGAACGUACCCUUCGGUUCGGAACAACCCUGGGAAACUGGAGCUAAUACCGGAUACGCCCUUAUGGGGAAAGGUUUACUGCCGAAGGAUCGGCCCGCGUCUGAUUAGCUAGUUGGUGGGGUAACGGCCUACCAAGGCGACGAUCAGUAGCUGGUCUGAGAGGAUGAUCAGCCACACUGGGACUGAGACACGGCCCAGACUCCUACGGGAGGCAGCAGUGGGGAAUAUUGGACAAUGGGCGCAAGCCUGAUCCAGCCAUGCCGCGUGAGUGAUGAAGGCCUUAGGGUUGUAAAGCUCUUUUGUCCGGGACGAUAAUGACGGUACCGGAAGAAUAAGCCCCGGCUAACUUCGUG